CGUGGAGACAGGUGGUGUAUGGUUGUCGUCAGCUCGUGUCGUGAGAUGUUGGGUUAAGUCCCGCAACGAGCGCAACCCUCACCCCUGGUUGCCACCGGGUAAAGCCGAGCACUCGAGGGGAACUGCCAGCGUCAAGCUGGAGGAAAGGCGGGGAUGACGUCAAGUCAUCAUGCCCCUUACGCCCUGGGCUACACACGUGCUACAAUGGCCGGUACAAAGGGACGCGAGACCGCGAGGUGGAGCUAAUCCCAAAAAACCGGUCUAAGUUCAGAUUGCAGUCUGCAACUCGACUGCAUGAAGGAGGAAUCGCUAGUAAUCGCGCAUCAGCACGGCGCGGUGAAUACGUUCCCGGGCCUUGUACACACCGCCCGUCACACCACGAAAGCUGUCUGUACUCGAAGUCGCUGAG
rnacentral:rRNA from 1 species